AAUGUAUAGAUUUUACCUGGUGUCAUGUGACAUCACUGAUCAGCAGUCUCAUCAAUCACAGUCAGAUUCCACUGAUUUAACACAGGUGUUCGUCAGGUGAUGGUCAGGUGUUGGUCAGGUGAUGGUCAGGUGUUGGUCAGGUGUUCGUCAGGUGUUCGUCAGGUGAUGGUCAGGUGUUGGUCAGGUGUUGGUCAGGUGAUGGUCAGGUGUUGGUCAGGUGUUCGUCAGGUGUUCGUCAGGUGAUGGUCAGGUGUUGGUCAGGUGUUGGUCAGGUGAUGGUCAGGUGAUGGUCAGGUGAUGGUCAGGUGUUCGUCAGGUGUUGGUCAGGUGUUGGUCAGGUGAUGGUCAGGUGAUGGUCAGGUGUUGGUCAGGUGAUGGUCAGGUGAUGGUCAGGUGUUGGUCAGGUGAUGGUCAGGUGUUGGUCAGG